AUAACACCUACUUUUAUACAUUAUAUUUUUUGUAAGUGAAUUUGAUUUAAAUGUAUUAUUUCAUUUAAUCUCACAUUAUCGGUUUUACAGAGAGGUGGUUAUCUCUUCCCUGUCACAGGUUGGCUUCCCUAGGAAGCUGACUCUGAAAUGGAGAUUAGCAUACAGGAUGUUUAUCAGGGAGUAUUAUGGGCAUAAACACAUGGAAAAAGAGGAAGCAAAAUUGGACAAAGGGAGAAUUAUAGUCUUGAUGAAGGAUACAGUUGAUCUUAGGGAAGUUCUAAAAUUGACAUGACCCUUUAGAAUUGUCUCAAGUUGUGGGAGAAAGGCAGACUUCAUAUCUUUCCUUGAUGAGUCAUUGGGUAUGGGCUGCCCAAGGAAGGGGGCAAAAUAUUGGGCAAGGGGUGUGUCUCCAACAAAGACAUUUUCUGUAGAAGGCUAAUAGCGGAGACCUGCCUUAGGGAAGUACUUAUAGAAGUUUAAAAAACAAGCCCUUUAUUUCUACAAGGGAUCUGGGCAGCACACUAUCUAUGACAAACACAUUCCAUUAAUUCCUUAGUUUUUGAUAAAGUUUAGAAAUAUUUUUGGAAUAUUUUUAUUUCUGUCAGUUAAAAGAGAACCAACCUUGUAACUAAGACUGACUUAAAUUUUACCUUGGUCCCUGGCUAGUUGUGUAAUUUGGAAUAAACUCAGUAAUUAUUCUGAUACCCAUUUUUUCUUAUAUAAAGUGAAGGAGACUAUAUUUGAUAUAUAACAAAAUUCUAAUAUUUAUAAGUAAAAUUGUGUGGGGUGUGUGGGGGGGUGGAGAGAGAGAGAGAGACAGAGAGAGAGAGAGGAAGGGAGAUGAGCCCUAUUCAGUUAAAAUGAAGAAAAGUAACUAUAUCAACUCACAACAGAUUAGCAAAUGGUGGCCCUGUAUCAUAUUCUACAAAGUAAGGGCAGAUUGUCAGAGGCACUGAGUUAGUUUUACACUGCUACAUAAUAAGCCACCAGACUUCAUGGUUCAAAACAAGCUACAUCCAUUUAUUAGCUCAGAGUUCAGUAGUUCAGAAGUCCAGCCACGUUUCAGCUGGGUUCUCUGGUCAAAGUCUUACAAGACUGAAAUCAAGGUGUCAGUCAGACUGGAGUCUCAUUUGGAAUGUGAAGUCUUUUUUCAAACUUAUUUAAGUUGUUGACAGAAUUUAGUUCAUUGUAGUUUUAGGACUGAGACACUCAGACCCUAAUGAUGAUUCACCUUCACGGAAAUUCAAAAUAUGGCUAUUUGCUUUCUUGUUUGAGGCCAUAGGGAGAAUGUCUCUCUGAUUCUUUGCAUUUUAAAACUCUAGACCCCCAUUUGAUACCUCACCUGAGUAGGACAGACUCUGAUUAGAUAAUUUCCGAUCUGAUUAACUUAACUGAAUGUGGAACUUUAAUUAUAUCUGCUAAAGUCUCUAUUGCAUAUAAUAGAACAUAAUGAUGAGGUUGAUAAUGCAUCAUAUUUACAGGCUUCACCCGUACUCAAAAGCAGUGCAUUAUACACAAUGGGGUAGAAAUCUCAAGGAUUGUCUUGGAAUUCUGCUUGCCAUGGGCACACAGAAAAUCUCAGCGAUAAAGAGGCUGUUGGAGGUAGAGAGGUUGGUCCACUUGUUCUGUCAUGUAAUAACUCUUAGAUACAGGAAAGACCUUGUAAUUAAACAUUUUCCAUCUGAGAUUAACACAGAAAUCCCUAACCAAUAAUUCAACUUGACAAGAACAGAUUAGAUAUUUUUCCUGUGCUGAGUAUGGAUGUAGAGUUGUGAAAUGGAAGACAAGGGAAAUUUAGAAAGAUGUGGAGAUUCAAAGUGUUCAACCUUGUUGCAUUUGCCACAAUAUUUACAUCCUAUUUCUUGGGAUUAUAUUAUUUCCCCAGCAGUGGUUUCUUCUUACUUUGAGACAUAACUGAAUUGAGUAUCUCGUUUGCACUGCAACUGCAAUUUUGACAGUCCAGUCUUGAUAUUGGUCCUCAGUUUAUCUGCUCUGCCACUUUAGGAGAUAAGGGAUUGGUUCAAAGUUACCACCAAGGCUUUCUCGUUUUUGAUUUAUAUUCUGAGUUGGAAUUUCACAGCCUUUAGUUCCUCUUUUUCGUGUGUAAACUACGUAGGACAUCUAGUAAAAGGUAAUGUAUAUACAAUAUUAAUGAUCACUAUUGUUUUUCAACACCUAAACUACCCACAAAAUUUGUGGUUGAUUAUGUUCCCUGUUACAGGCUGUUGCGGGACCAGCCACUGCCAGGGUCACUUCUGUUCUUGUGUUCAGCUCCAGUCACCCGCACCAGUGACCUCUUCUCUGAAGUAAGUUACAGGAUAUCAAAGGAGGAGAGUGAACAUCAUCCAAGGAUUUGGAGUCCUCUUCUGGGAAAAAGGUCAACAAAGAGUUCUUGAGCAUCUGCCAGACCAAGUACAGUUCUAGACAUCAAAGAACCUACAAUGAAUAAAGCAAGUCUCUUUCUUCAGGAAAAUUACAGCAUAAUGUUGUUGCAAUUAAGUUUUUUUCAUGCAUGUAAAACCCUCGUGCAUACAUUUGGCUGAUACAUACUGAACUCUAAAAACACAUUACUACCCAUUUUAGUAAUUAACAUUUGGCAUUCGCCUUGCCUAUGAGAGUUUAGAAGUAAAAGAACUUAUUUUCAGCUCUUAGGCCCUGAUUAUCUCUGGGGGAUCACAAGGACUACUAACUAAAAAAAAUGAGGAGUGGGAGAGUGGAGGGAAGCACAGUAUGGGUGAUUAAUAACAAUUUUGCUAGAGCUCUGUGAAAAGCUGCAUAGAAAGGGUAUUUUAUAUUUGAUGUUUGAGCAGAAUGUGAGGAACAAGAUUUGACAACUAGAUAAGAAUGGAAGGAGUAAUCUGGGCAGAAGGAACAGUAUGAGCACAAGCUGAGAGGUGUGAAGCUUCAUGGCAUGCAUGGAAAACAGCAGCAAAACAGUCUGACAGGAGUAGAAAGCACCAGAGAUGGCAUAGGCAAGGCAAAUUAUGGCAUAUUAUAAACAGCUUCAAGUGCGAUGAUAAGUCAGAAGCUGGAAAUCAUCCUAAAUAUAAUGCAGAAAAAUAUGAAGGUUUUAAAUCAGGAAAUGAGAGAAUCAGGUGUGCACUCUAGAAAUUUAACAGUUAGAAGUACAGAUUGGAGUGUGCAAGCCUGGAGAUGAGCAUGUACAUUAUGAUUUUAGGUAAUAGUUUAGGUAACAUAUAAAGAAGUAGCACAGUGAGGUGAAAGGGUAGAUAGAUUACAAAAUCAUUUCAAAGGAGGAGAAAAAAGAGAUUUGGUGAAAAGAAGUAGAUAAAGAAGAGACUGAGGAAAGCAAAUCUUUCCAAAUCACCUUUUAAUUAUCCUUUUGGAGGUGAUAUUAAAUAUUGAAGGGGUCAAUAGUCCAGAAGGACAGAGAGAGAGAGAAAGGUAGGAAGAAAGAGAGAGAAAGAGCAGAGGUUGAGGGGAGGGAAAAGAUGUUUGGAGAUAGAUGGAUGUGAUGCCAGUAAUUUGGAAAUUAAUAAAUAAAUAUAUAUAUAUAUACACAUAUAUAUUACUAUAUAUGCAUAACAUUUGUCAUCAUUUUGAGAAUGUCUG
rnacentral:lncRNA from 1 species